rnacentral:lncRNA from 1 species
UGAGAAUAGAGAACCCAGAUGAGACAAUUGCUGAAGUUGACAACAUUGUCCUGAAAAGAAAAUAUUUUUGGACGCUGGGUCUCAAUGAGCAGUUGGAGGCAACAAUUGCAAACAGCUGUCUUGAAGUGGUUGCAUUGGUGGCUAAAGAACAGGGAAUGGAUGUGUGGACAGCUGACGCAUAUGUUGUGGCUACCUGGUUACCUCCAAAUAAUUUGGACCCAUCACUGUCUUUUCCAGUAAGGCCAUAAAGUUACAUCACAUUCAUAAUACUGAAAAUGUAAUUUAAAUCUGACUUAAAAAAAACUUUUUAUUAAAAAAAAUGUAUUUUAAAAUUAUCUAUAGGAUCACAUUGCAUUCAAAGAUGCUAUUGUCUUUCCUGCUUGGAAGCCAGGACACUGGAUGUUGUGUGUAAGUUAUAUGGAAUUUGGUUACUAAAUAUAUAAUUGCAUCUGUAAAUUGCCUUCAUUUGUCUU